UACGUAGGUGGCAAGCGUUGUCCGGAUUUACUGGGCGUAAAGAGCGCGCAGGCGGUCGUUUAAGUCGAAUGUGAAAGCCCCCGGCUCAACUGGGGAGGGUCAUUCGAUACUGAUCGACUUGAAGGCAGGAGAGAGAAGUGGAAUUCCCGGUGUAGUGGUGAAAUGCGUAGAUAUCAGGAGGAACACCGGUGGCGAAGGCGGGUCUCUGGGCAGUAACUGACGCUGAGGAGCGAAAGCGUGGGGAGCGAACAGG
rnacentral:rRNA from 1 species